rnacentral:rRNA from 1 species
UACAGAGGGUGCGAGCGUUAAUCGGAAUUACUGGGCGUAAAGCGCGCGUAGGCGGCUUUGCAAGUCGGGUGUGAAAUCCCCAGGCUUAACCUGGGAACUGCAUUCGAGACUGCAUUGCUAGAGUAUGGGAGAGGGAAGUGGAAUUUCCGGUGUAGCGGUGAAAUGCGUAGAUAUCUGGAGGAAUACCGGUGGCGAAGGCGGCAUCCUGGACCGACAUUGACGCUGAUGAGCGAAAGCUAGGGGAGCAAACGGG